rnacentral:rRNA from 1 species
UGGCGGACGGGUGAGUAACGCGUGGAGAACCUGCCGUAUACUGGGGGAUAACACUUAGAAAUAGGUGCUAAUACCGCAUAAGCGCACGGCUCCGCAUGGGGCAGUGUGAAAAACUCCGGUGGUAUACGAUGGAUCCGCGUCUGAUUAGCUAGUUGGCGGGGUAACGGCCCACCAAGGCAGCGAUCAGUAGCCGGCCUGAGAGGGUGGACGGCCACAUUGGGACUGAGACACGGCCCAAACUCCUACGGAAGGCAGCAG